rnacentral:tRNA from 1 species
GGAACUGUGCCUGAAAUAAAGGACCACUUUGAUGUAGUGGAUAAUGUGGGUUAAAAUCCCCCCAGCUCCU